rnacentral:piRNA from 2 species
UAGCAACAGAGCCUACUGCAGAGGUGGGA